CAGCAGCCGCGGGAAUACGAAGGGGGCUAGCGUUGUUCGGAAUUACUGGGCGUAAAGCGCACGUAGGCGGAUAUUUAAGUCAGGGGUGAAAUCCCGCAGCUCAACUGCGGAACUGCCUUUGAUACUGGGUAUCUUGAGUAUGGAAGAGGUUAGUGGAAUUGCGAGUGUAGAGGUGAAAUUCGUAGAUAUUCGCAGGAACACCAGUGGCGAAGGCGGCUAACUGGUCCAUAACUGACGCUGAGGUGCGAAAGCGUGGGGAGCAAACAGGAUUAGAUACCCCAGUAGUCCCUGUCUCUUAUAA
rnacentral:rRNA from 1 species